rnacentral:rRNA from 1 species
UCCGUAGGUGGCAGUUCAAGUCUGCUGUCAAAGACCGGGGCUCAACCUCGGAAAGGCAGUGGAAACUGAACAGCUAGAGUGUGGUAGGGGCAAAGGGAAUUCCUGGUGUAGCGGUGAAAUGCGUAGAGAUCAGGAAGAACAUCGGUGGCGAAGGCGCUUUGCUGGACCAUAACUGACACUGAGGGACGAAAGCUAGGGGAGCGAAUG